AAAUGAUCUGCCCACCCUGGCCUCCCAAAGUUCUGGGAUUACAGGUGUGAGCCUCCACGCCCGGCUGAUCAUGUCUCAUAAAUAAGGCCACAAAUACUUUGCUGCUCCCCUCACAUCAAGAAGUGGCAUCCCUUUCCUUGCCCUUUGGAUCUGGGCUGGGCUUGUGACUUGCUCUGACAACAGAAUGUGGCAGAAGUGACCCUUUAUGAGUUCAGGAGCUUAGGCCGCAAGAGAUCUUGCAAGCUUGUGCCUUCCCCCUCUUGGAAUGCUGCUCCUAGACCACCACAUAAGGCAGCUGGUCUACCAGCGGGAGGAUGGGAGGCCACGUGAUAGGGAUCUGAGACACCCCAGCCAACAGCCAGCACCAACCACCAGAUGUGUGUGAGAGGCCUUCUUGGACCUUCCAGCUCAGCUGUGACUCCAGCUGAAUGCAGCUGCAUGUGUGACCAGGAGAAACGGGCAGAGGAACCACUCAGGCCAGCCAGACUCAUAAAAAAUAACAAAUGGUUGUUGUAAGCCACUAGGUUUGGGGGUUUGUUAGGUGGCUAUAGAUAACCAAGACAACUGCCUCCUCCUCAUUCAGGUGCCUGCUCCCUUCCCCUUCAGUCCCUUCCCUCCCCCCUCAAACCCCCACCAAUUGCUGUUUAUGCCGUUAUCCUGUUUCAUCCUGUCCAAGGCAUUUAUCACUGUCUGAAACCAUGAUGUAUUCACUUAUGGACCUGCAGUGCAUUUCCGCCACGAGGCUGCAGUUUCCAUGAGGGCAGGGGCCAGAAUGGUUUGUUCCCUACCAUCUCCCUUGAGCCUGUGUGUGUGGUGUCUGGCACAGAGAAGCUGUGUAAUUGUUGAUGGAGAGAUUGUGUGCCUGCCCCUUGCUGCUGUGGUGCUUGGGGGAGCAGCGUGGCAGGUGGGAACUCCUGCCUGGUUGUGUCUUCCAAAACCGGUGCCCUUGGGAGGGCAGGAGGGCAGGCCAGGUGUCUGGGCUGUGUUUCAGGGGCAAGAGCUUCAGGGAGCCCAAGUUGAGUAGGAAGAAAAGGAAACUGCCAAAAUGUUCAUUUUCAGCAGGGGCUUAGAUUCAGGCCAAGGAAGUUACUGGGGCUUCUCUCCACCAGGUCAGCUGCAAAUUACCAGCAGCCCAGCCACGCCCUUCUGUAAGAUCACCAAGCUGAGAAACUGGGCAAUGGGAGAGAGUGUUGGGGACACUGAGUCACUUCCCAGGGGCCAACUAUUUCCAAGUCCCUCAGAGUCCUCAGAGUCUGCUUUUUCCAGUGCCAAGGAAUUGGUCCAGUAGCCACAGCUUCAGUUGAGGAAAAAAUGCAUACCCAAGAGAAAAAGAAUCAGCUCCAGGGUGCCUUUUUCUUUUCUUUUCUUUUUUUUUUUUUUUUUGAGACGGAGUCUCAUUCUGUCACCCAAGCUUGAGUGCAGUGGCGUGAUCUCAGCUUACUGCAACCUCCGCCUCCCGGGUUCAAGGGAUUCUCCUGCCUCAGCCUCCUGAGUAACUGGGAUUACAGGCAUGCACCACCACUCCUGGCUAAUUUUUGUAUUUUUAGUAGAGACAGGAUUUCACCAUGUUGGUCAGGCUGGUCUCGAACUCCUGACCUUGUGAUCCACCCAUCUCAGCCUACCAAACUGCUGGGAUUACAGGAGUGAUUCCAGGUGCCUCUUUUAGCUAUCAUUCUGCAUUCUGUGGGAACAGAGAGAGCAUCACCGUAGUUCAAGCCAGGCUCCUUUAGGUUAGGUGGACUUGUGUUGGUAUUAUGUCUCCAUGACUGUGUGACCUUGGGGAUGCGGCUUGACCUUCCUGAGCACCAGUUUCUGCAUCUAUUAGGAGUGGACAGUGAAGACCGAACUCCUAAGGUUGUGAUGAGAAUUCAAUGAGAACAUGCAUGCCCAGCACAGCUUCAAGCACACAGAAACAGUAAAACCGAUUGCAGGCAGUUCUCUGGAUCUCAGCCCACCCCAGGUAGAUGGUGACUCAAGUUGUUCUGCAGAGACUGGUCCCCCUGCCUCUGUUGCCAUGGCACUGCAGCACAGCCUGGCCAAUCAGGAAGGAGAUGAGUAUCUGAGUCUCUGUUGCUAAAGCUGGAGCAGGACACCUAGCCAAUGGGAAGGGCAGCAGAGUGGAGCCACCAUGGAAACCUAAGCAGCUCUGGAUAAAGUGGAUCUACAAGAAAUAACUUCCCAAGGAGGAGUCCUGUAAAUAGCAUGAGUGGACAAAUACGACUCAGGCUGCUUUUUGCCAUGAAAUUGCCAGACAAGGAGGGAUGUCUGUUUCAGAGUCCUGGGCCAGGGGAGUGAAAUCACACAGUUACCUGCAUGCAGAGCCCAGAGUAGAAGACCUAGCUCCCUUUACCCUGCAACAUGCAAUCUUCUUAAACCAGUCUUCUUAUCCUUGGGUGGGCAGUCAGGGAGCUGUGCACGCCCACACCUCCAACACCCUUUAUUUUGCAAACAUGGGCAUAAAAACAACUGCAAGGGAAAAUGUGUCCCACCCCUUCCCCACUCCCUUCUGGCUUUCUCUCUGUUGCCUGGCAACAGUUUUAUCCAGAAACCUGGGUGUCAUCCUAGAUAACUCCCUCACCCUUAUCCUUCCCACAAAACCCAUGGCCCAAUCAUGUCCAUUUUAUCUCCUAAAUGGCCCUCAAGUCCAUCCACUCCUCCCCUCCCCCCAUCACCUCCCCAGUCCAAGGUUCCAUCAUGAAUUUCCUGGACAUCUACAUUGGCUUCCCACAGGCCUCCGGCUUUCACACUUGCUCAUCCCAUCCCCCGCUUCCAUCUUCUGUAACCACAGCCAAAAUAAUCUCUUAAAAAUACAAAUCUGAUCCUGUCACCUGCUCCUUGCUUAGAACCUCUAAGAAUCAAAAUCAAAAUCUUCAGCAUGCCCAAGAGCACUGCAUGGUCAGGCCUACUUCCCAACUUUAUCUUGCCCUGUGCGUGCCCUUCCCUCUCUUCCUGAACAUUUUUUCCUCCCCAAUUCUUCUACUUAAUCCUGCUUACCCUGUAGUUCUCAGUUCUAUGGUCACUUGGAGAGCCUUUGCUGACCUUCAUGACUAGGUCAGAUUGCCCUGUGAUGGACUCUCCUAGCACCAUGUGCCCUUUAUGUCUGUAGCACUUAUCAUUGUCACAAUUUUACCCUUAUUUACUAUUAUUUGAUUUAUAUCUGCAAGCCCUGCCUCACUCAAUUUAAGCUUCAUGAAUGCAGUGAUUUUGUCUUGUUCUCUGCUUGAAACAUGGAUGGAUGGAUGGAUGGAUGGAUGGAUGGAUGGGUGGAUGGAUGGAUGUUUGGAUGAACAUGAGUUGGAUGAGUAGGUGUAUGGAUGGAUGGGUAUAUGGAUGAAUGAAUGUUUGGAUGUACAGGAAUUAGAUAAAUAGAUACAUGGAUGGAUGGGUAUAUAGACGGAUG